rnacentral:rRNA from 1 species
CCUACGGGAGGCAGCAGUGGGGAAGUAUUGGACAAUGGGCGAAAGCCUGAUCCAGCAAUGCCGCGUGAGUGAUGAAGGCCUUAGGGUUGUAAAGCUCUUUUACCCGGGAUGAUAAUGACAGUACCGGGAGAAUAAGCUCCGGCUAACUCCGUGCCAGCAGCCGCGGUAAUACGGAGGGAGCUAGCGUUAUUCGGAAUUACUGGGCGUAAAGCGCACGUAGGCGGCUUUGUAAGUAAGAGGUGAAAGCCUGGUGCUCAACACCAGAACUGCCUUUUAGACUGCAUCGCUUGAAUCCAGGAGAGGUGAGUGGAAUUCCGAGUGUAGAGGUGAAAUUCGUAGAUAUUCGGAAGAACACCAGUGGCGAAGGCGGCUC